rnacentral:rRNA from 1 species
UACGUAGGGUGCAAGCGUUGUCCGGAAUUAUUGGGCGUAAAGAGCUCGUAGGCGGUUUGUCGCGUCUGCUGUGAAAACGCGAGGCUCAACCUCGCGCCCUGCAGUGGGGUACGGGCAGACUAGAGUGCGGUAGGGGAGAUUGGAAUUCCUGGUGUAGCGGUGGAAUGCGCAGAUAUCAGGAGGAACACCGAUGCGAAGGCAGAUCUCUGGGCCGUAACUGACGCUGAGGAGCGAAAGCGUGGGGAGCGAACAGG